GUGUCAGCAGCCGCGGUAAGACGAAGGAUCCAAGCGUUAUCCGGAUUCAUUGGGUUUAAAGGGAGCGUAGGCGGGUUUAUAAGUCAGUGGUGAAAGCCGAUCGCUUAACGAUCGAACUGCCAUUGAUACUGUAGACCUAGAGUACAGAUGAUGUUGGCGGAAUAUGACAUGUAGCGGUGAAAUGCAUAGAUAUGUCAUAGAACACCGAUUGCGAAGGCAGCUGACAAAACUGUAACUGACGCUGAGGCUCGAAAGUGCGGGGAUCAAACAGGAUUAGAUACCCUGGUAGUCC
rnacentral:rRNA from 1 species